rnacentral:rRNA from 1 species
GACGUAGGGCGCGAGCGUUGUCCGGAUUUAUUGGGCGUAAAGCGCACGCAGGCGGCUCUUCAAGUCUGACGUGAAAUCUCUCGGCUUAACCGGGAGCGGUCGUUGGAAACUGAAGGGCUUGAGGCGAUGAGAGGGGUGUGGAAUUCCCGGUGUAGUGGUGGAAUGCGUAGAUAUCGGGAGGAACAUCAGUGGCGAAAGCGGCACCCUGGCAUUAGCCUGACGCUCAUGUGCGAAAGCGUGGGGAGCGAACGGG